AUAUCUAGGCAAAUUGCCUAGAAGUGAAUCCCCUCUCCUGCUUAAGUCCUUCCCACAGAGAGCGGUUUGAUAUGUCACUGAAACCAGCAUCCAGGUGGUAUUGCUCCAUAUGCCUGAGACCCUAACAAAAGCCUAAUUACAACUCAUAUGCCUGGAGCCAGGACAUGUGCAGGAUGACUCUGCCAAGAGAGGGGAUUAUUACAUAUUGCAGAGCCCAGCACCUAGGUGGAGUGACUCUCAUCUUUUUCUUCUACCCCGUAUAUAGCCAGCUUGGUGACCUACUAUUUGAGUCUAUACCCAGGCCCAGACCACAGAUGAAAUUGUGCAAUAUGUGGAACAAACACCUAAACAAUAUAUAACACCUUCCUUGGCUCUGUCUACAAAGGGCACUUUUAUAUAUCACUGGGACCAUCAACCAGGUGAUAUAACCCUCUUCUCUGGAAUGGGCCCCACACAAAGGAAGGAUAGUGACAUAUUGCAAGCCCAGGCACACAGGCCCAGAGCACAGUUGAAAUUGUGACAUAUGUACACCAAGCAACCAAGCAAUGUAUAACACCUCAUUUGGCAAUGGAAUCGAGGGCACUUUUACAUAUCACUGAGACCAGCGCCCAGCUGAUGUGAAAUAUUGGCCUGAACCCUGCCUACAAAAGCAUUGUGGCUUUUAUCUAGCUCCAUUACAUAAGUGAUGUGACUUCCUUCUACUGCCUUGGCCCUGCACUUAUGGUGAAUCGUGACACAAAAUUGGGUAGAGCAACCAGCCUGGGCCCUGACCAGCACAGAGAUUGAGGCAUAUUGCUGAACCCAGGACCAAGAUGAAGUCACUCUCCUGCCUUGAUCCUGCACACAGGGACCCUUGUGACAUAUAUACAGGCCAAUUGCC
rnacentral:lncRNA from 1 species